rnacentral:rRNA from 1 species
CCUACGGGAGGCAGCAGUGAGGAAUUUUGGACAAUGGAUGGAAAUCUGAUCCAGCCAUGCCGCGUGAAGGACGACGGUCCUAUGGAUUGUAAACUUCUUUUGUAUGGGAGCAAUAAGUUCUACGUGUAGAUCGAUGAGAGUACCAUACGAAUAAGCAUCGGCCAACUCCGUGCCAGCAGCCGCGGUA